rnacentral:rRNA from 1 species
CCCUUAGAUGUUCUGGGCCGCACGCGCGCUACACUGAUGCAUUCAACGAGCACCCGCUGGGCCGAGAGGUCCGGCUAAUCUUUGAACGUGCAUCGUGCUGGGGAUAGAUGAUUGCAAUUAUUCAUCUUCAACGAGGAAUUCCUAGUAAACGCAAGUCAUCAGCUUGCAUUGAUUACGUCCCUGCCCUUUGUACACACCGCCCGUCGCACCUACCGAUUGAAUGGUCCGGUGAAAUUCUCGGACGCGGACUUGCGAUGUUAAUUCGGAGCUUGACUGUGAAAGUUAAUUAAACCUUACCAUUUAGUGGAAGGUGAAGUCGUAACA